rnacentral:rRNA from 1 species
CGAACGGACGAGAAGCUUGCUUCUCUGAUGUUAGCGGCGGACGGGUGAGUAACACGUGGAUAACCUACCUAUAAGACUGGGAUAACUUCGGGAAACCGGAGCUAAUACCGGAUAAUAUUUUGAACCGCAUGGUUCAAAAGUGAAAGACGGUCUUGCUGUCACUUAUAGAUGGAUCCGCGCUGCAUUAGCUAGUUGGUAAGGUAACGGCUUACCAAGGCAACGAUGCAUAGCCGACCUGAGAGGGUGAUCGGCCACACUGGAACUGAGACACGGUCCAGACUCCUACGGGAGGCAGCAGUAGGGAAUCUUCCGCAAUGGGCGAAAGCCUGACGGAGCAACGCCGCGUGAGUGAUGAAGGUCUUCGGAUCGUAAAACUCUGUUAUUAGGGAAGAACAUAUGUGUAAGUAACUGUGCACAUCUUGACGGUACCUAAUCAGAAAGCCACGGCUAACUACGUGCCAGCAGCCGCGGUAAUACGUAGGUGGCAAGCGUUAUCCGGAAUUAUUGGGCGUAAAGCGCGCGUAGGCGGUUUUUUAAGUCUGAUGUGAAAGCCCACGGCUCAACCGUGGAGGGUCAUUGGAAACUGGAAAACUUGAGUGCAGAAGAGGAAAGUGGAAUUCCAUGUGUAGCGGUGAAAUGCGCAGAGAUAUGGAGGAACACCAGUGGCGAAGGCGACUUUCUGGUCUGUAACUGACGCUGAUGUGCGAAAGCGUGGGGAUCAAACAGGAUUAGAUACCCUGGUAGUCCACGCCGUAAACGAUGAGUGCUAAGUGUUAGGG